rnacentral:lncRNA from 10 species
GGGAGCUCUUUGGUUUUUCCUGGGAGUUAAAGUAAAGAUUUACCUCCUCUUAAUUUUUCCAGUGGGUGGUAAACAAACUUCUCUAAGCCUCUUCUGGUAAGGGCUUCCGAGAUAGUUUUUACAUGCAGGAAGAGAGAACAAGUGCAGGCAACGUCCAAGGUCCUCUUGUUUUGCAGAUCACUGCACAACAGACCCUCAGGUAGAACAAGUUUAGAUAGUGACUCUUAACCAAAGUACAAGUUAGCAUCACCUGGAAGACUUUACUAACCAUGGUUGGCUGAGAGUCUGUGGGAGCAGAAGAGGAAACUGAGGCUUUAGAGAACUGUAGCACAUUGGCAAGGACAUCCAGCUCAUAAACAAUCCAUCAGAAAAGUGAGGUCACUGAGCAACCCACCACCCAAAACCUGGACAGACAGAGAAAUACAGAAGCAUGGCUUACAGAGAGCAGAAGCAGCUGCUGGAGCCACCAUCUGGUAGAAACACUUCAGGGAUGAGAAAACAGUGACCUGGAGACAGUUAUUUCACCAACAGAAGCUGGAUCUCUAAUAAAAAGACUAUGGGCUGCUGCAACUCUAGGAAUGGAAGCUUCACAUCUACCAUCUACUGCUUGCUGCAUACCCCACUGCAUCGGUCACUGAGGCGCCCAAUACCUGAGGAAUUGAAAUCAACAUUAUGUUAAGAUGCGGGAGCUCUCAGAGAACAUGCAGCCACUCUUAGGAAGUACAAGAGGACUGGAGGGGGAGUCCUAUAGACUGAAUGCUUCCAUCCCCCCCGCCGGAAUCAUAUGUUGAAAUUCUAAUCCUCAACGUCAUGGUAUUAAGAGGUGGGGCUUUUGGGAGGUGGUGAGGUCCUGAGGGUAGUGCCCUCCUCCAUGAAAUUAGUACCUUUAUGAAAAGAGACAGGAGAAAGCUUGCUUCUUUUGUCUCUUCUCUCCCAAGUAAAGACACACCAGAGGAGAGUCAUCUGCCAACCCGGAAGAGGGCCCUCACCAGAACCUGACCAUGCUGGCACCCUGAUCUCAGGCUGCCCAGGCUACAGAACUGUGAGAAAGAAUUCUGUUGUAUAAACCACCCAGGCUAUGGUAUUGGCAAUAGCAGCAUGAGCAGCAUAAAAUAGGGCAGGUUCAAGGCCUUUACCUAAGAACCUGAUGCUCAAAAGAUACAAAAAGUGUCUAUAUUCCCAUCAACAAUCCAUUCUCCUGAUGAACUUGCCAGUAUCCUGAGGUUUGCAGCCAGGGAAGUCAGCCCAUGUUUGCUAAAUAAAUGAAUGAGAAGUGGAAGUGGAGAUGAUGGAGCAGGUACAUGGCUGAAAACCUGUUUAUGUCAGAGCCCAUUUCCUACCUUUUUACCUACCUAGAAGGCAGCCAGCACUUCUCAGUUCCAUCAUACAGAGAACAUUUUGCUGAGAUGACACCAACUUCCAGUUCUUCACAAAGAUGCAGCCCUCAGCCUUCAGCAUGAGAACAGGGACAUCAGCCUGCUUUGCCCAUGGAACUGUCUCCAGAGCCUACAACAAUGCUCAGCCUAUGAGAGGUGUCUCCUAGAAGACUUUCCAUUUCAACAAGCCUCAUUUAUAUGCAACUGGCAAUUUCUCUAAACAGAAGAAAAGGGGAGAUUUUGCCAAUCAAUUGGCUUCACCAUCCCCCAGCCCCAAAGUGUGUUUAAGAACAUUUGCCUGUGCAUGCAUGUGUUUUCCUUUGCAUCCCACAAGAGGAAGGUAGGCAUAUUGCAUACAACUGCAGCUUUCUCACCUGAGAAACAUUCUUGGGUUUAAUGUCGGUAUGAACCAUUAGGAUUUAGCAUAGCAUCAAUGACAUGCUAACAUAUAUUCGCUCAGUAGCCAUGGGAAGAUCACUUUCUCGUAUAAUUUAUGCAAUUAAACUUUCCCAUUUUCCUGGAUGUAUGCAUGGAAACCAUCCACUGAGGCUGCUGUCCAUUGAGUUGGAGCUUUUGCAUGGCAGAACUGGAGAGUCCAAUUGAAAACACAGAAGUGGAGCUGCUCCAGAGAGGGUGCGGCACGAAGACUCUGUGCAGGCUAUUUCAGAGCGAAGCGAGUGGGCUCAAAUGUGCUGAAUGCUCACUUGCUAACACAGACAGCACCAAGAUAAACACCUACAAAAUAACAGCAAGACACAGACCUGUAGGAACUCCGAGCUGGGCCAGCCUCAGGAGAGGUUUCUCCCAAGGACACUGUUCUUACGCAUAGAUGGAGAAUCACCUGGAAAGAACAAGACUGUGAGCCAGACCCCAGCCUGCAGAGUAUUGGUCCCUCAAACUUGCGUUCUGCCCUUUAAACGGCAUCACAAUGGGUUAACAAUUGUGAAGCUUGAAAAUAAUUGUUUUCCCCUAAGAAUGGGCCUGGGCUUACAGCACAUUUGUGAGACAGAACAGGGGGUGGAGAGGCCAGGGAUCUAGAUUCCCCCAUUUAUUGUCUCAUGUUACACUAAAAAAAUUGGGGGUUGUUACCCGGUUCUACAGAUGAGGAAGCAGAGACUGGAGGGUUUGAUAAACCCCUGGAGGUCAUGCAAAUACCCUGUAGUAAAGCUUAGAUUUUAACCAGAUCUUUUUGUGUUCCAGAAGCUGCAUCUCUGAGUCAUGAGACAUGCAGACCAUGGCAGAUGGUCCCGUGACAGCAUUUAUUACCUUAAACGGGAAGUCUCAACCCACCCUCCUCCCCCACAUCCACUCCCCACUUGAAGAUAGAUACAUAUGAUAGGACAAGGCUGUGAUUUAAACUUAGCUCAGGAUGGUGCUGUGCCUGAGCAUAUGGAAAAGCUUUUAAAUUCAGUUUCAGAUUUAUAUCUGCUGACAAGGGGUAAAAUGAAUUCUUGGUCUUUGUUCGAAUGGAAAAAAGUCUCUACAUUAUUAGGCGCCAUAAUAUUUUAUUCAAAUCUUCUUAGAAAUUUUUGGAUAUUGCAUCUGGGGGUAAGUGUGCCUCUUUGAUGUCAUUCAGAAGUGUGUGUAUCUUGGUUACUGUGUACAAAAUGCACUGGUCCAGUUUUUUCAAAGUGCCUUGACGCUAUACAUUAAAUUGCAAUCAAGAGAAUUGAAUAUGGAAAGUAGAGUUUUUUUUUUUUUGCAAUCCUUCCUUCAACUCCUAAAGUCAGCUCUUUAGAGAAAAUUAGCACUGAUAAUAGGACAAGAUGAUAAAGAAUACAUCCGUGUUACAGCUUCUAGUGCCACUCCCCCAAUCUCACAUUAAUGCUACACUGAUUUCAAUGGAACAUUGAGAAGAAAUAUUUCUCUAGUCUGAAAGUAAAGCAGGAAUUACAAACUCAGUAAUUAAGUUAGGAUUAGGUUUGCUGCAAUAUAAUGUACAUAUAUGCAGAUAUAGUUCAUUACCCUUACACAUAAAAGUGAUCUAAAGAGAGGUAGCCCAAAGCUGUUCAUGUCUACUAUGCCUCUCUGCCUUCCUUAGAUGACACUUCACAGUCCAGAAUGGCUGCUUUUGCUCCAGCCAUCAUGUCCAAAUUCUAGCCUGCAGUGAGGAGAAAGCAACAAAAAAAGGACAUGCUCAUUCUUUUUAAAGAGCACUUCAUAGAGAAUGUUCAUUUCACUUUCAGCUAUCUUUUGUGGCUAGAACAUCAAGUAUGUGGUCACACCCCACUACAGGAGGAGCUUGGAAACGUAGGGUUUAUUUGGGCCCCCAAGUGCUAAACUAAAAUCUGGAAUUGAAACAUAAAUGAAGAAGAGAAUAGGUAUUCAAGUAGGCAUACUCUGCAAUUAUUUCUAGGUCAGUGCUAUGCCCGUGGGAUAAACUUUUCAAGUAGAGGUCCAAUACUGACAAGAGUGAGAGGGACUGAGGCACGUCUCCAAAGCAUUCUAUGAUCCUGGUUCUCAUGACUGGGCCCUGAAACUUUGCACCUCAAUUCCCUUGACUGGAUCUCUGAGCUCCUCUCUGUAUAUGGGUUCCACCACCCAUGUCUCUCCUGGGCUGAGGCCUUGCCUUCCCUGAGUGAGUCCUGCUCUGUUACUCUUGCUUGUCCACCUGUCCCCACAAACUCUAGGAACUAGAACCUGGCCCCAGUCUGGUCUCAAAGCCAGGCAUUGGGUGAGUAAAAAGAACAUCAGUUUGGGGCUACACUGGACCUCAGUUCCAAGCCCAUGUCCAUGACUUUUGAGCCACCUGGCUUUGUGCAAAUUAGCCUUUGUAUACUUCUAUUUCCUCUUUUGUGUAAAAGUGGAAUAUUAAUAGUAUUUACCUCAUAUGGGCUGCAAUGAGUGUUAGCCACCAUUGUUAUUGGUGUAUGUUCGUGGACAGAAGGCCUAUGUCUCUGUCUAGUACAAGGAUAUCCUGGAAAAGAACAUGCCUAACCCUUCUUUGAUUUAAUGAGACCUUCCCAUAUCUCUGGUUCUAAUGGGAUGAAGCUCCCUAACUACCUAGUGCUGGUCUACACCACCACUUUGUCACCUCAGCUCCGUUUUGUGAUGGGACAGGGACCCUUCCCUCCUCUGCAGCACAUCUGUUUCUCUCAAAUAGAUUUGUUUCAAGUCUCAACUCAGGCCAUGAUCUCUGAAGUUGGGCCCCCUCAUGACGUGACAGGAUGAACAAUUUGUACAUAACAGGUGCAAUUUAAAUUCCUGUCUCAUGCAUUAAAGGCAGCUUCCAUUUAGGCUUCUGUGGCCACCUUCUAGAGCCAUCAAACUCUGUAUCUUGAAAAAGUUCACCUUGAAAGCCUUUCUGCCAUUGCCAGUGACAGGGGUACCCUCUCACCAUGCCGGCAGGUUCCUAUAGUGUCUGAGGACCUGAGAUUGACAUUUGUCUCAGCACAUCUUUGGAGCAUAAAGCCAGAGAACUGCCAAAGUAAUGUGACAGCCACCAUUUGAUGAUGCAGAUAAUAGCCACGAGAAGCCAGACAGAAGGAUUUCACUCUAGCAGGGUCUCGCUCUGUGGCCCAGGCUGGAGAGUAUGGUGCAAUCAAGGCUCACUGCCCCAUGUUCAAGCCAUCCUCCCACCUCAGCCUCCCAGAUAGCUGGGACUAGAGACACACAUCACCACGCAUGGCUCUGGGUUACUUCAAUAAGUAUUUUUCAAUAAAUAUUUCUUCAAUAAAUAUUUAAUAACACAAAGCUCAUGAAAAUUUAUCUCUAUUAUUUCUUGGAAUAUUGUGGCCAAUUUUAGAUGGUCCAAAAUUGUGAUCUUUUCAUUUUUAUUAUAUGCUGGUUUAGAAUAGAAAUUUUCUAAUUAAAAAUAGCAUCAUCAUUAAAAUAUUCUUCUUCUAAGUCAAGAUUAUCCAAAGUAUAGCAAAUGCCAAAAUCAUUUCAUGUAGACUCUCUGAUCUCCCCUCAUCGGAUGUGUUCUCUGCUUCUGUGGUUCUGUAGGAAUAAAGAGCACUCUCUCCCUGUUAGCAAAUUUU